CGGGACGGGUGAGUAAUGUCUGGGAAACUGCCUGAUGGAGGGGGAUAACUACUGGAAACGGUAGCUAAUACCGCAUAACGUCUUCGGACCAAAGUGGGGGACCUUCGGGCCUCACGCCAUCGGAUGUGCCCAGAUGGGAUUAGCUAGUAGGUGGGGUAAUGGCUCACCUAGGCGACGGUCCCUAGCUGGUCUGAGAGGAUGACCAGCCACACUGGAACUGAGACACGGUCCAG
rnacentral:rRNA from 1 species